AUUGAACGCUGGCGGCAUGCCUUACACAUGCAAGUCGAACGGCAGCACGGGUGCUUGCACCUGGUGGCGAGUGGCGAACGGGUGAGUAAUACAUCGGAACGUACCUUAUCGUGGGGGAUAACGCAGCGAAAGUUGCGCUAAUACCGCAUACGCCCUGAGGGGGAAAGCGGGGGACCGUAAGGCCUCGCGCGAUUAGAGCGGCCGAUGUCUGAUAAGCUUGUUGGGGGGGUAAAACCUCACCAAGGCGAUGAUCAGUAGCUGGUCGGAGAGGACGAUCAGCCAAAGUGGGACUGAGACACGGCCCAGACUCCUACGGGAGGCAGCAGUGGGGAAUUUUGGACAAUGGGGGAAACCCUGAUCCAGAAAUGCCGCGUGAGUGAAGAAGGCCUUGGGGUUGUAAAGCUCUUUUGUCAGGGAAGAAACAGCAGCUCUAACACAGUCUGCGAAUGACGGUACCUGAAGAAUAAGCACCGGCUAACUACGUGCCAGCCGCCGCGGUAA
rnacentral:rRNA from 1 species